rnacentral:rRNA from 1 species
AGAGUUUGAUCCUGGCUCAGGCGAACGCUGGCGGCGCGCCUAACACAUGCAAGUCAACGGAGCUGAGAGGAGCUUGCUUUUCUUAGCUUAGUGGCAACGGGUGAGUAACGCGUGAGUAACCUGCCCUGGAUGGGGGACAACAGUUGGAAACGACUGCUAAUACCGCAUAAGCCCACGAUCCGGCAUCGGAUUGAGGGAAAAGGAUUUAUUCGCUUCAGGAUGGACUCGCGUCCAAUUAGCUAGUUGGUGAGGUAACGGCCCACCAAGGCGACGAUUGGUAGCCGGACUGAGAGGUUGAACGGCCACCAUUGGGACUGAGACACGGCCCAGACUCCUACGGGAGGCAGCA